GAUGAACGCUAGCGGCAGGCUUAACACAUGCAAGUCGAGGGGUAGAAAUAGCUUGCUAUUUUGAGACCGGCGCACGGGUGCGUAACGCGUAUGCAAUCUGCCUUGUACUGGGGAAUAGCCCGGAGAAAUCCGGAUUAAUGCCCCAUGGUAUUUUUGUGUGGCAUCACACGAUUAUUAAAGAUUUAUCGGUACAAGAUGAGCAUGCGUCCCAUUAGUUAGUUGGUGUGGUAACGGCACACCAAGACGAUGAUGGGUAGGGGUCCUGAGAGGGAGAUCCCCCACACUGGUACUGAGACACGGACCAGACUCCUACGGGAGGCAGCAGUGAGGAAUAUUGGUCAAUGGGCGCAAGCCUGAACCAGCCAUGCCGCGUGCAGGAUGACGGCCCUAUGGGUUGUAAACUGCUUUUAUACGGGAACAAACACCUCUUCGUGAAGAGGCUUGACGGUACCGUAAGAAUAAGGAUCGGCUAACUCCGUGCCAGCCGCCGCCGUAAUAC
rnacentral:rRNA from 1 species